GUACUGGUGAAGAGUCCCAAACUAGGACGAAACAGCUAUCCAGUAC
rfam:Trichobilharzia regenti genome assembly, scaffold: TRE_scaffold0014679